rnacentral:rRNA from 2 species
UUGCAGAAUUCCGCGAAUCAUCGAGUUUUUGAACGCAAGUUGCGCCCGAGGCUUGACCAAGGGCAUCUCUGCCAGAGC